ACGUAAUGUUUCAACAGCAUAACAGUCACUAGGAUUCGGCAAAGACAAUCUAUUUAGACUGGUUUGUUUUAGGUGGUGGUGGAGAAAUGGUGUUCCUCAUCAACUAACAUCUCCACUCAGAAACCAGAAUCCUGGAGACAGAACCCAGUAAAGGAGGUGACUUUCGAUGAGCAAGCAGGACAAUCAGGCGGAGACAAAGAUCAGAACGCAGACCAGGAAGACGAAAUCAAACAAUGGAAAUUCGGCUUGCUGCAGUUCUACAACGACGUCUCCUACAGCGUGCUGGUCUUGAUGGCUCCAUGUUUAGCAGAGGC